AACAGUCACACAGACCAGCCGGCCAAACAGGCCUCAGACAAGUCAGGAUGAGUCUGGGAUUGCAGGUUCUGCUUCUGGAAGACGACCUCCUGUAAGGCGCCCAUCACAGGGCUCGGGCCACUUACCCAGGAGGCCAAGUUCGACACGGCGUCUUGCCUUGGAAUCUGCUGCUCCAUCAUCCCCACCCAGGCGACGACUUUCGGCAGUGUCACCCCAGCCACCACUGGCACUAUUGGCCAGUUCUCAGAGUGAUGAGCCCCGAUCCCCUCAGUUAUCUGAGCCCAGCUUGAUGGCCGACGUGGACCAGCAGGGCCAAGACCAACAGGCAACAAUCACACUGCAACUUACACCUGUUGACCCAAGCCAGCCAAUACAGUUGCAGGAUAUCCCCCAAGCAUCCAUCAGUCCACAACUGGCACAAGCUCCGCCCCCAAGCCAAAUCCCAGAUGACUUUUGGGCCAGUUGGACAAGCCAACAGGCCCAAAGCAAUG